UGCCAGCCGCCGCGGUAAUACGGAGGGCGCAAUCGUUACUCGGAAUCACUGGGCGUAAAGAGCGUGUAGGCGGGUUAAUAAGUUUGAAGUGAACUCCAAUGGCUCAACCAUUGAACUGCUUUGAAAACUGUUAACCUAGAAUAUGGGAGAGGUAGAUGGAAUUUCUGGUGUAGGGGCAAAAUCCGUAGAGAUCAGAAGGAAUACCGAUUGCGAAGGCGAUCUACUGGAACAUUAUGGAAGCGGAGACGAGAACGCGUGGGGCGCAAACAGGAGUAGAUA
rnacentral:rRNA from 1 species